GGGCCCGUCGCCUAGUCAGGACAGGGUGCUGUUCAUCUUUUGCAAAAAGAGAGCACAAGCCUCCGAAGCCAGUUGUCGUGGGAUCGAAGCCCACCGGGCCCG
rnacentral:tRNA from 3 species